rnacentral:rRNA from 1 species
UACAGAGGGGGCAAGCGUUGCUCGGAAUCACUGGGCGUAAAGGGCGCGUAGGCGGGAUGGCAAGUCAGUCGUGAAAUCUCUCGGCUCAACCGAGAAACGUCGGCUGAUACUGCCGUUCUUGAGGGAUGCAGAGGAGACUGGAAUUCCCGGUGUAGCGGUGAAAUGUGUAGAGAUCGGGAGGAACACCGGUGGCGAAGGCGGGUCUCUGGGCAAUUCCUGACGCUGAGGCGCGAAAGCGUGGGGAGCAAACGGG